rnacentral:lncRNA from 1 species
NNNNNNNNNNNNNNNNNNNNNNNNNNNNNNNNNNNNNNNNNNNNNNNNNNNNNNNNNNNNNNNGGUCCCCCCCCCCCGAAACGGCGCCCGAUGACGCGCGGCCCCCUCUUCGCAAAAUGGCGCCCGACGACGCGGGGUCUCCUCCGCAAAAUGGCAACCGCUGUGGGCUUCAUCCUCCGCAAAAUGGAGACCGACAACGUGGAGGGUUCCCCCCCCCAAGACAAAGACCGACGUGGGGUGUUCCCCCCCCCCAAAAAAAACGACGACGGACGUGGGGUGUUGCCCUCGCAAAAUGGUGCCCGACGACGCGCGGUCUCCUCCACAAAAUGGCGCCUGACACAGAGGAUCCCCCUACGAAAUGGCGCCCGGCGUGGGGUUCCCCCCUCCGCAAAAUGGAGACCGAUGACGUGGAGGGGGCCCCCCCCCCAGCCCCCGGACCGACGACGCGGAGGGAACCCCCAAAACGACGCCCGGUGGGGGGGUGUCGCCCUCACAAAAUGGCGCCCAGUGACGCAGGGUCUUCUCCACAAAAUGGCGCCCAACGUGGAGGGUCCCCCCCUCCUCCACAAAAUGGUGCCCAAGGUGGGGGGCCCCCUCCCAAAACGAUGCCCAAUGACACGGGGUCCCUCCACAAAACGGCGACCGUUUGGGGCUCCUCUCCACAAAAUGGCGACCGCUGUGGGGUUCCUCUCCACAAAACGGUGCCCGACGACACGGGGGUCGUCGUCCCCCCCAGGACCGAUGACGUGGAGGGUCUCCCCGAAACGAAGACCGAUGUGGGGCGCCCCCCCCAACAAAACGACCACCAGUGGGGGGGGUCUUGCCCUCACAAAAUGGCGCCCGAGGUGGGGGAUCCCUCCACAAAAUGGCGCCCGCCGACGCGGGGUCCCCCCACAAAAUGGCGCCCGAGGUGUGGGGGGGGUCCCUCCACAAAAUGGCGCCUGACGCGGAGUCCCCCCUUUCCCAAAACAACGCCCGACGAUGCGGGGUGUCCCCCCCCCUUCCCCAAACUGCCACCGUGGGGCCCCCCUGGACCCGAUGCCCUGAGACCAUUGGGGUCCCCCCAAAGCGAAGUGGGGUGUCUCCCCCCCAAAACUGCCACCAUGGGGCCCCCCCCCACACACUCCCUCCAAAUGCCAGGCCGGGCUGCAGGGGCCCCCCAAAACGGGGUGCGGGGUCCCCCCGAAACGGGGUGCAAGUGCCCCCUCCGCCUGGGGUGCUGGGACCCCCCCCAAAAUGGGGCUUAAUCUGUCCCAAUUGGG